UACAGAGGGUGCGAGCGUUAAUCGGAAUUACUGGGCGUAAAGCGCGCGUAGGCGGCUUUGCAAGUCGGGUGUGAAAUCCCCAGGCUUAACCUGGGACCUGCAUUCGAAACUGUCUUGCUAGAGUAUGGGAGAGGGAAGUGGAAUUUCAGGUGUAGCGGUGAAAUGCGUAGAUAUCUGAAGGAACAUCAGUGGCGAAAGCGACUUCCUGGACCAAUACUGACGCUCAGGUGCGAAAGCGUGGGGAGCAAACAGG
rnacentral:rRNA from 1 species